UUUAGCCUGUUAGCUUGUAUUGAAGAAUUGAAUCUAAUAUACAGUUUGCGUUAAUGAUGUAAGCCAAAUAGAGCUCAUGUACUGUUCAGAAGUCGAAGUGUUUUGGAGGGAAAUUUUCGAUAGCCGACUGCUAAUCCACAGCUUCUGGUCUUCUCAAAAAAGUAUUUUCUCGAAGAGCUCAUUCUGACAGUGACAUUCUGAGAGUGACUCUCUCCCUCUCUCCCAGCGCUAAAAGAUGCUGGACAUGAACCGCAUGCGGCUGACCGUCAUUGAGUUUCACUGACCUGAGGAAUGGGAAAAAAAAUGCUAAUGAAAAUGAAGAGUGGAAAAAGAAACGUCUUUUUGCUCCAAUAAACUUUCCAAAGGAUCACCUGGGGCAGGGUGGAACAUACCCAGAGUACCUCGGUCACCUUUCACCUCUUUCCACAACUCCAGUCUGGACAGGUUUACAAGGACAUGGGCAGUCAAAAUAUAGGAGGCUCUUGACACACCCCCACUCAUGAAAAAGGAAAUAUAGCCUUAGCAUUAAUAUUCUAACAUUUAUCUUCCUGCCAGUUCUUGAAUGUUAUUUCCUGUAGUCAGCAUGCUAACUGGAGGGAUGACUCGGCACCAUCAGCGAAGAAAAAUGAAUAAUGCCAGUGCGGUUUUGUAAAUUUAAAUAACUGACCUACAAAAUCGUUGAGGUCAACUGGUCUGCAGAGCCUGGCAGUUAAUGCACAACUUGCUCCUUGAAGCCAUACUGAAAGCCUUAGAUUUGCAGAGUUUAAUGCAAAUCUUCACACUGUCUCUUUUCUCUCAUGGACACUGUUACACUUUCAGUCUGGAGUUUAACUGUUUGAUGUCAAGGCGAACUGAAAAAGAACAGCUUAAAUAUUAAGCCUAGCUGGUUUGGUGGACUUAUCUAGUCUCCACACCUGGUCUGUGGAUGGCUUGAGGAGGGAUUGGAUAAAGAUUGGCACUAGUUUGAAAAUCAGCGCAAACCAAGUCUGUCAGCUGUUGAGACCAGCUUAAACCAGCGAAGGUCACUAAACCAUCUUAGGCUGGCUUUAUC